rnacentral:lncRNA from 1 species
UACAUCUAAACAAAGCACUAUAAUAUGACUGUUGUGAUCUUUUACCGGAUCAGAGAUAUCAGAGCGAGCAAAGCCCCAAAAAUAACAGCAUCGAUGGAAUACGAUGAAUGGAGAAUGUUGACAAUUGAAAACCUUAAACCUCCAAAGGUACAGCUGUGUCGAUCCUUAGAUAAUUUAGCUAGACAGGAAUACGAUGAAUGGAGAAUGCUGACAAUUGAAAACCUUAAACCUCCAAAGGUACAGCUGUGUCGAUCCUUAGACGAUUUAGCCGGACGGUCCCGAGAAUAUACUCAGGCAGAUCUGCCUCCUCUUUUGCCUGGGAAAACAGCUAGAUUCAAUAUCAGGUUGAUUAUCACAUGCAUGUACUCAGGAGUCAGGAUCAUGUGAGUUGGAUUAAGUUAACAAUUCAGAAAUCAUACAUGAAGAUUCACUUAGACUAUGUCAGCACAGGAUUACCAUUAGUGACAUUAUAACUAUAACAUACACAACUAUGCUGGACACAACUAUGGUCAUUUAAUGUUGCACAUUGCAUCCCUAGUACUCUUUCAAAUAAAUCAUAAAUCGAACUAAAAUAAACGGCAGCAGAUGAACCAAAAUUACUGGCACAAGGAGAAGGAAUAACAAAAGGAUUAUCAAUAUGGCUGCAUAACAAAGCCCAAAGUGAGUAGUUAAAAUUUGAAAAGAAAGGAAAAAAAACUGGGUUUACACAUGUAUAUCAUAAAUCCCAUGUUUUCAGCCAUUAGAUCCUUGGACUUGUCUCAAACCAUGAGCUCUAUAACUAGCAUCGUUUCAAGUGUCCAAUCAGGUGACUGAUCUGUCAGUUGGCAGGGAGUACCAUCAUAAAGAGAAAUUGGAGCCAGCCUAAGUUUUAGUUGGGCCAAUCCAUAAGGUACUUUAACUUAAAUAAAUGUAUUUUCUUUUUUUUAUCAUGGAGGCCAUCUAGGUUGCUAGUGCAAUAAUCUCUGGGUGUAAAUGUAAAGGUCCACCCACAGUUGGGAACAAAAUGCAAUAAGUCAUAGUUUAUGACCUUAUAACCAUUUCCAACCUCAAGCGCUGUAAGUCUACAGAAGAAGUACAAUAGCUAGGCAAGAUUGCGCUAUGAAUAGAAAAGGAAGGGUGAUUUAACAGCGGUCCAGACCUCU